AUUUCCCAUAGGUUUUGUACAUAGCCAACAUGGCUGCCGGCGGACAAUUUGAAGGAUGAUUUUGGAGGGUCAAUGUUUUAUUCAUGAGAAUGACGUCAAAAUACGCAUAAUGCACUUGUAUGAUUGGAUUAAACGCUAAUGUUUUAUUCAUGUACUCAUGCAUUAAACAUUUUUUUCCGUCCCACAAUUCCCUACGAUAUCUGUGUGAAGUGUCGUUCUUUUGGACUCUGCGAAUUUGAAGUUUCUGAAACGAAAUAGCUAGACUAAUUAUCUGUUUAUAGAAUUGAUGUUCGAAAUCAUGGUUUCUGAGUGAACUUCAUUGGAGCGGAAAAUCUUGGAGGGAACAUCAAUACUAUUCUAAUGACAUUCCAUAGGAAUAAAAAUCCAAUGGGACCAAGUUCUUAGCAGUUCACACCUAGUCAGAAGUACAAAAUUGAGAACCAUGCCGAUCAGCAAGUGUUAGUUACAAUCUAAUGAGGAACAGGAUAUCUGAAUGGAAAAAUUGCAAGGUUUCCCACUUCCUAAGCUGUUUAAGUACUGGUAUCACAACAUAAGUGCCAAGAAGAGAUAUGAAACGGUCUCAAAAUUUUUGCUGGUGCCCCCCCGAUGCCGUGACCCACGGUACGCCACUGCAAGUCUUCAUAAAUUAUGUAGGGUUAUUAAGUUGCAUUUAUUGUUAUCUUCAUUUAAAAAAAAUGUGAAAUGGGCUACCACUGCAAUAAUAUAUAAAUAGACUAUAUUUCAAAAAUAGAUUGAAUUCUAACCACAGUGACAGUAGACAAAUCAAAUUUUGUUAAUGAUUCGCUAAUGUAUUGAUUGGGGAAGGCACUCUUUAGGAUUCUGGCAUUGUGUCCCACCCCCCCCCCCCCUUAUGAGGAGUGCUCUCACAUCAGUAGACUAUUUCUUGUCAGCAAAUUUGAAAGGAAUUUACAAAUUUUUUUGAGUGACAAACUUUUGUGGAAGAAAAUAAACGAAUAUCAAAGGUUUUUAUGCUCUUUUAUGGAAUAUUAACUAUAGGCUCAUCGAGAUCCUUUGAAUGAAAUUUUAACAAACAUUGUACAAUGUAGAAAAAUGUACUUAAUCCUCUUUUUGUACAUUUAUAUACCCACCCCAUACUACCCUUACCCAGUAACAGCCCUUUUUAGCUAUGCAUUGCCUUCAUUUUUUAAAAUACAAUUUAAUGCUUGGUAGAUGCUUAUUAUUAUUUUUAUGUUAAUGUCAAUGUUUUAGAAAAUGGAUUCCUUAAUAAACAUGUUAAUUUUGAAUUGAAUUUUUUGAUCUUGGUAAUUUUCAUUUAUCAAUUAAUUGUGAUGAUGUAUUGCUUCUGAGCUGUUAUGCACAAAUGGCACAAGAUGUUGCACUGUACUGAAAUGUGAUGAUGCCACUGUUACAUGAGAUCAAACAGCAGUCAAUUAAAAUAUUAUUCACGAAAAAUAAGGAUAAGAGUGGGAAAGAAAGUAAAAUGACAGGAGAAUUAUUUGCUUGUAUGCAUAUAGUUAUGUCAGUUUCUGAGAGAGAGACAGACAGAAAGAGAGAGAGAUGGGGGGGGGGGGGGUGAAAGUUCAGUUUGUUUUGAAAGAAGCAAUUAUAAGACCUUACUGUUCAUGACGGGUAACGGGGGGGGGGGGGGCUAAUUAUUUCUCCAAAUUUUUGAAACCUGCAUAUAAAAUGUAUUUUUUCUUUCCAAAUGAAAAUUACACCAGAUUCAUUUUCAGUUG